UUAGGUUUUGGGUUUUGUAUUUGUUCCUCUCUUUUAUUUGAUGGACUGUGAUUAUGCUACGAUUAAGUUAUUCUUAUAUGUGCUACAAAUUGCUACUCAUUGAACAUUGAUGAUCCAUCUUUUAUCUGUAGUUGCUAUUUAUUGUUCAUUGUGCUAGGUAAUCUUAACUAUCUAUGUAACUUGAAGUCUUGAACCAUUACAUUUGAGCACAAUAUUUUAGUGCCUUACUAUGGAGAGACACUACCAUAAUCUAUUAUAGGACAGAGAUGAAGUUGGGGAUUGAAACUACUGGGUUUUCUCAUUUUUACUGAUAUUUAAGAAAAAUAAUGGCUUGUAUGGAUUAUAUCCCAAGUAGCACAAUGAUUCAAAUUUGUUUUUAAUGAGAACCGAGUGUAUGAAUUGCACAAAUGCCCCAUAAAUGAUUUUUCCUGCUGCUUCUUCCCACUUGUGAAAACAGGGUGGAGGGCAUGAUCGUGGGUUCAAGACUCAUCGGGGCUUCCUGACUUUCUUGAUUUUUUGUCCUCUUCUGGUUAGGCGUUUCUCAUAACCCUGAAAAUAAGAGGGAAGUCUUUUGUGAUGAGAGGCUGAAAUCCAUUUUCGAUGGGAAAGACAAAGUUGGGUUCCAAGAGAUCACAAGUGCAGUUGAAAGCCUUCUGAGUAUCUCUUCCUUCCCGUUAAGUCAAAUUCGUUCGACCACCAAAAUGAGUGGUAGAGGCUCAAUCUGGAUUGCUAACUCUGACUAUACCAUACAAGGGAAGCAAGAAAGCAAUUUGAUUGCAGUUUCUUUUCUAUUAGGUAGUGGAGAAAGAUGUACAUGGUGACUUCCUGUGGCAAUGUAAUCAGAAGUAUAAUUGUGUAUAGAUAUGAUUUUCAUAGUA